GAUGAAGAACGUAGCGAAAUGCGAUAAGUAAUGUGAAUUGCAGAAUUCAGUGAAUCAUCGAAUCUUUGAACGCACCUUGCGCUCCUUGGUAUUCCGAGGAGCAUGCCUGUUUGAGUGUCAUGAAAUUCUCAACCUUUUCAGCUUUCUUUGUUGAUCAGGCUUGGAUGUGGGAGUAUGCGGGCUUCUCAGAAGUCGGCUCUCCUGAAAUGCAUUAGCGGGACCUUUGUUGCCUGGCUUUGGUGUGAUAAUUAUCUACGCCAUUGUAGUCAAGCAGCUUAAAAUGAGGCUUCAGCUUCUAACCGUCUCCCCUGAGACAACUUUUUGACAAUUUGACCUCAAAUCAGGUAGGACUACCCGCUGAACUUAAGCAUAUCAAUAAGCGGAGGA
rnacentral:misc_RNA from 1 species